rnacentral:rRNA from 1 species
UGGGGAAUAUUGCACAAUGGGCGAAAGCCUGAUGCAGCGACGCCGCGUGAGGGAUGACGGCCUUCGGGUUGUAAACCUCUUUCAGCAGGGAAGAAGCGAAAGUGACGGUACCUGCAGAAGAAGCGCCGGCUAACUACGUGCCAGCAGCCGCGGUAAUACGUAGGGCGCAAGCGUUGUCCGGAAUUAUUGGGCGUAAAGAGCUCGUAGGCGGUUUGUCGCGUCUGCUGUGAAAACGCGAGGCUCAACCUCGCGCCUGCAGUGGGUACGGGCAGACUAGAGUGCGGUAGGGGAGACUGGAAUUCCUGGUGUAGCGGUGGAAUGCGCAGAUAUCAGGAGGAACACCAGUGGCGAAAGCGGCCUCCUGGACCAUUCCUGACACUCAGACGCGAAAGCUAGGGUAGCAAACG